rnacentral:ncRNA from 14 species
GUCAAUAGCUCAGUGGGAGAGCAAUCGAUUGCAGCUCGAUAGGUCGCUGGUUCAAUCCCGGCUUGG